rnacentral:rRNA from 1 species
UGGGGAAUUUUGGACAAUGGGCGCAAGCCUGAUCCAGCAAUGCCGCGUGCAGGAUGAAGGCCUUCGGGUUGUAAACUGCUUUUGUACGGAGCGAAAAGGUCUGCCCUAAUACGGUGGGCUCAUGACGGUACCGUAAGAAUAAGCACCGGCUAACUACGUGCCAGCAGCCGCGGUAAUUCGUAUGGUGCGAGCGUUAAUCGGAAUUACUGGGCGUAAAGCGUGCGCAGGCGGUUAUAUAAGACAGAUGUGAAAUCCCCGGGCUCAACCUGGGACCUGCAUUUGUGACUGUAUAGCUAGAGUACGGUAGAGGGGGAUGGAAUUCCACGUGUAGCAGUGAAAUGCGUAGAUAUGCGGAGGAACACCGAUGGCGAAGGCAAUCCCCUGGACCUGUACUGACGCUCAUGCACGAAAGCGUGGGGAGAAAACA